AACGAACGCUGGCGGCAUGCCUAACACAUGCAAGUCGAACGAGACCUUCGGGUCUAGUGGCGCACGGGUGCGUAACGCGUGGGAACCUGCCCUUAGGUUCGGAAUAACUCUCCGAAAGGGGUGCUAACACCGGAUAAUGUCUUCGGACCAAAGAUUUAUCGCCCUUGGAUGGGCCCGCGUUGGAUUAGCUAGUUGGUAGGGUAAAAGCCUACCAAGGCGACGAUCCAUAGCUGGUCUGAGAGGAUGAUCAGCCACACUGGGACUCAGACACGGCCCAGACUCCUACGGGAGGCAGCAGUGGGGAAUAUUGGACAAUGGGCGAAAGCCUGAUCCAGCAAUGCCGCGUGAGUGAUGAAGGCCUUAGGGUUGUAAAGCUCUUUUACCCGGGAUGAUAAUGACAGUACCGGGAGAAUAAGCUCCGGCUAACUCCGUG
rnacentral:rRNA from 1 species